rnacentral:rRNA from 1 species
UACGUAGGUGGCAAGCGUUGUCCGGAAUUAUUGGGCGUAAAGCGCGCGCAGGCGGUCCUUUAAGUCUGAUGUGAAAGCCCACGGCUCAACCGUGGAGGGUCAUUGGAAACUGGGGGACUUGAGUGCAGAAGAGGAAAGCGGAAUUCCACGUGUAGCGGUGAAAUGCGUAGAGAUGUGGAGGAACACCAGUGGCGAAGGCGGCUUCUGGUCUGUAACUGACGCUGAGGCGCGAAAGCGUUGGGGAGCAAACAGG